GUCCUAUUUCUGCUUUGAACACUCAGUUA
rnacentral:piRNA from 1 species